GACGAACGCUGGCGGCGUGCUUAACACAUGCAAGUCGAACGGAAAGGCCCUGCUUUUGUGGGGUGCUCGAGUGGCGAAGGGGUGAGUAACACGUGAGUAACCUGCCCUUGACUUUGGGAUAACUUCAGGAAACUGGGGCUAAUACCGGAUAGGAGCUCCUGCUGGGUGGUGGGGGUGGGAAAGUUUCGGCGGGUGGGGUUGGAUGCGCGGGUUAUCAGCUGGUUGGUGGGGGGGGGGGUGACCAAGGCUUUGAGGGAUGGCCCGCCGGGGGGGGUGACCGGCCACCAUGGGCCUGAGAGACGGCCCAGACUCCAACGUGAGGCAGCAGUGGGGAAUCUUGCCCAACGGGCGGAAGCCUGAUGCGGCAACGCCCCGUGCGUGAUGACGGCCUUCGGGUUGUAAACCGCUUUCGCCUGUGACGAAGCUGGAGUGACGGUAAUGGGUAAAGAAGCACCGGCUAACUACGUG
rnacentral:rRNA from 1 species